CUUAACAAUUCUAUGGUUCCAGGUAGGUGGGUGGUUGGACUGGAUGAUCUUGGAGGUCUUUUCCAACGCUGAUGAUUCUGUGAUUCUAUAAUUCUAUGGAAUGAGACCCUCCUCCAGACUGAAACGGGCUUCAAAAUGCACCAUCGUGUUGUGCUUGGAUAGGACAUUGCUGUCCCCCUCACCAAAGCCUCCUGUCCGCAGCAGGAAGACCAGAAGGGAGGGUGGUGCUCACCCAUCCCAGGACAUACUCAUCCUUGAGCAUCACAUUCUUCGCAGGAAGGUUCACCAAAUGACUCAGCUGGACAGAGCUGAAUCCAGUCCAGGACAUCACAGAAGUCAGGAGGAACCGCAAAAAGGAACUGCUGUCAUUGCCUCCUUAUUUUGCUGAUGUGUGAGUGCUGAAGUCAGCUCUGGGACAGACGUGGGGCUCACCUCAAAUAAGGUCACCGACAACCAGAGGAAGAAACCCUGGGGUGCCUGCAUGCAAAUCCCUCUGUUCAGCUCAUUGCUUCAGUGAUAGAUGGAUCCUGGAUGGUGCACAUACCCAUUUUGCACGCUUAUCACAGGACAAGGUGAGCUGCACACCUGUUUUCUCCAAGGCUGGCAUGGCCUGGGUGGCCAAUGUUGGAUCUUGGAUGAGGUUCGUCCCAGUUGGGUCUUUGGUCUCACUGCUACAGGGCUCCCCAGAACCCUGCAGGUUUCUUCCCAAAGGCAGAGCUCGAACCAUUCUCAGGAGGUUAUUUGGGUGUGGAUCGCUGGCUCUGAGUACCCAAAUUUCUCUGGAGAAAACAGUUGGAGCAUGUUUGGUUGGUGUAAAAUGUGGUCCUGUGUGCUGUGGCAGUAGGGGCUUAGAGAUGGCACGAGCCAGUGGUGUGGGAAGGAGAAAUGGAAAUUUACACCAAUAUUGGUGCACAGAGAUUGAUAAAUCCUCCCAGAGUGGGAAGAUGGUGCUUCCUGUUGUUGAUGUUUUGGCCUCAAGUUGCACCAGGGGAGGUUCAGGUUGGAUAUUAGAAAACCUUUAUUUUACAAAAGAGCAGACAGGUGCUGGCACAGCUGUCCAAGGAGUGGUGGGGUCACCAUCCCUGGAGGUGCUCCAGAAUGGUGGAGAUGUGGCACUGAGGGAGGUGG
rnacentral:lncRNA from 1 species